GAGUAGGGCGGGACACGUGGUAUCCUGUCUGAAUAUGGGGGGACCAUCCUCCAAGGCUAAAUACUCCUGACUGACCGAUAGUGAACCAGUACCGUGAGGGAAAGGCGAAAAGAACCCCGGCGAGGGGAGUGAAAAAGAACCUGAAACCGUGUACGUACAAGCAGUGGGAGCACCCUUUGGGGUGUGACUGCGUACCUUUUGUAUAAUGGGUCAGCGACUUAUAUUCUGUAGCAAGGUUAACCGUAUAGGGGAGCCGGAGGGAAACCGAGUCUUAACCGGGCGUUAAGUUGCAGGGUAUAGACCCGAAACCCGGUGAUCUAGCCAUGGGCAGGUUGAAGGUUGGGUAACACUAACUGGAGGACCGAACCGACUAAUGUUGAAAAAUUAGCGGAUGACCUGUGGCUGGGGGUGAAAGGCCAAUCAAACCGGGAGAUAGCUGGUUCUCCCCGAAAGCUAUUUAGGUAGCGCCUCGUGAAUUCAUCUCCGGGGGUAGAGCACUGUUUCGGCUAGGGGGCCAUCCCGGCUUACCAACCCGAUGCAAACUGCGAAUACCGGAGAAUGUUAUCACGGGAGACACACGGCGGGUGCUAACGUCCGUCGUGAAGAGGGAAACAACCCAGACCGCCAGCUAAGGUCCCAAAGUCAUGGUUAAGUGGGAAACGAUGUGGGAAGGCCCAGACAGCCAGGAUGUUGGCUUAGAAGCAGCCAUCAUUUAAAGAAAGCGUAAUAGCUCACUGGUCGAGUCGGCCUGCGCGGAAGAUGUAACGGGGCUAAACCAUGCACCGAAGCUGCGGCAGCGACGCUGAUGCGUUGUUGGGUAGGGGAGCGUUCUGUAAGCCUGCGAAGGUGGCCUGUGAGGGUUGCUGGAGGUAUCAGAAGUGCGAAUGCUGACAUAAGUAACGAUAAAGCGGGUGAAAAGCCCGCUCGCCGGAAGACCAAGGGUUCCUGUCCAACGUUAAUCGGGGCAGGGUGAGUCGACCCCUAAGGCGAGGCCGAAAGGCGUAGUCGAUGGGAAACGGGUUAAUAUUCCCGUACUUGGUGUUACUGCGAAGGGGGGACGGAGAAGGCUAUGUUGGCCGGGCGACGGUUGUCCCGGUUUAAGCGUGUAGGUGUGUGUUCCAGGUAAAUCCGGUUCACUUUAACACUGAGGCGUGAUGACGAGGCACUACGGUGCUGAAGCAACAAAUGCCCUGCUUCCAGGAAAAGCCUCUAAGCAUCAGGUAACAUCAAAUCGUACCCCAAACCGACACAGGUGGUCAGGUAGAGAAUACCAAGGCGCUUGAGAGAACUCGGGUGAAGGAACUAGGCAAAAUGGUGCCGUAACUUCGGGAGAAGGCACGCUGACACGUAGGUGAAGUGAUUUACUCAUGGAGCUGAAGUCAGUCGAAGAUACCAGCUGGCUGCAACUGUUUAUUAAAAACACAGCACUGUGCAAACACGAAAGUGGACGUAUACGGUGUGACGCCUGCCCGGUGCCGGAAGGUUAAUUGAUGGGGUCAGCGCAAGCGAAGCUCCUGAUCGAAGCCCCGGUAAACGGCGGCCGUAACUAUAACGGUCCUAAGGUAGCGAAAUUCCUUGUCGGGUAAGUUCCGACCUGCACGAAUGGCGUAAUGAUGGCCAGGCUGUCUCCACCCGAGACUCAGUGAAAUUGAACUCGCUGUGAAGAUGCAGUGUACCCGCGGCAAGACGGAAAGACCCCGUGAACCUUUACUAUAGCUUGACACUGAACAUUGAGCCUUGAUGUGUAGGAUAGGUGGGAGGCUUUGAAGUGUGGACGCCAGUCUGCAUGGAGCCGACCUUGAAAUACCACCCUUUAAUGUUUGAUGUUCUAACGUGGACCCGUGAUCCGGGUUGCGGACAGUGUCUGGUGGGUAGUUUGACUGGGGCGGUCUCCUCCUAAAGAGUAACGGAGGAGCACGAAGGUUGGCUAAUCCUGGUCGGACAUCAGGAGGUUAGUGCAAUGGCAUAAGCCAGCUUGACUGCGAGCGUGACGGCGCGAGCAGGUGCGAAAGCAGGUCAUAGUGAUCCGGUGGUUCUGAAUGGAAGGGCCAUCGCUCAACGGAUAAAAGGUACUCCGGGGAUAACAGGCUGAUACCGCCCAAGAGUUCAUAUCGACGGCGGUGUUUGGCACCUCGAUGUCGGCUCAUCACAUCCUGGGGCUGAAGUAGGUCCCAAGGGUAUGGCUGUUCGCCAUUUAAAGUGGUACGCGAGCUGGGUUUAGAACGUCGUGAGACAGUUCGGUCCCUAUCUGCCGUGGGCGCUGGAGAACUGAGGGGGGCUGCUCCUAGUACGAGAGGACCGGAGUGGACGCAUCACUGGUGUUCGGGUUGUCAUGCCAAUGGCACUGCCCGGUAGCUAAAUGCGGAAGAGAUAAGUGCUGAAAGCAUCUAAGCACGAAACUUGCCCCGAGAUGAGUUCUCCCUGAGACUUUAGGUCUCCUGAAGGAACGUUGAAGACGACGACGUUGAUAGGCCGGGUGUGUAAGCGCAGCGAUGCGUUGAGCUAACCGGUACUAAUGAACCGUGAGGCUUAACCUUACA
rnacentral:rRNA from 1 species